CUACGGGCUGCUGCAGUGAGGAAUAUUGCACAAUGGGGGGAACCCUGAUGCAGCAACGCCGCGUGGAGGAUGACGCAUUUCGGUGUGUAAACUCCUUUUAUAUGUCAAGAAAAUGACGGUAGCAUAUGAAUAAGCACCGGCUAACUCCGUGCCAGCAGCCGCGGUAAUACGGAGGGCGCAAGCGUUACUCGGAAUCACUGGGCGUAAAGGACGCGUAGGCGGGUUGGAAAGUCAGGUGUGAAAUCCUACAGCUUAACUGUAGAACUGCACUUGAAACUUCUAAUCUAGAGUAUGGGAGGGGGAGAUGGAAUUAGUGGUGUAGGGGUAAAAUCCGUAAAUAUCACUAGGAAUACCUAAAGCGAAGGCGAUCUCCUGGAACAUUACUGACGCUAAGGCGUGAAAGCGUGGGGAGCAAACAGGAUUAGAUACCCGCGUAGUC
rnacentral:rRNA from 1 species